rnacentral:rRNA from 1 species
UACAGAGGUCUCAAGCGUUGUUCGGAUUCAUUGGGCGUAAAGGGUGCGUAGGCGGCGCGGUAAGUCGGGUGUGAAAUCUUGGAGCUUAACUCCGAAACUGCAUUCGAUACUGCCGUGCUUGAGGACUGGAGAGGAGACUGGAAUUUACGGUGUAGCGGUGAAAUGCGUAGAUAUCGGAAGGAAGACCAGUGGCGAAGGCGGGUCUCUGGACAGUUCCUGACGCUGAGGCACGAAGGCCAGGGGAGCAAACGGG